GUUGUACUGUCAGAAUAGGUUAUAGUAGAGAUGUUGUACUGUCAGAAUAGGUUAUAGUAGAGAUGUUGUACUGUCAGAAUAGGUUAUAGUAGAGAUGUUGUACUGUCAGAAUAGGUUAUAGUAGAGAUGUUGUACUGUCAGAAUAGGUUAUAGUGGAGAUGUUGUACUGUCAGAAUAGGUUAUAGUAGAGAUGUUGUACUGUCAGAAUAGGUUAUAGUAGAGAUGUUGUACUGUCAGAAUAGGUUAGUAGAGAUGUUGAUAUUUUU